GGGCCCGCACAAGCGGUGGAUGAUGUGGAUUAAUUCGAUGCAACGCGAAAAACCUUACCUACCCUUGACAUGUCAGGAAUUUCGCAGAGAUGCGAAAGUGCUCGAAAGAGAACCUGAACACAGGUGCUGCAUGGCUGUCGUCAGCUCGUGUCGUGAGAUGUUCGGUUAAGUCCGGCAACGAGCGCAACCCACAUCCCUAGUUGCCAGCAGUUCGGCUGGGCACUCUAUGGAAACUGCCCGUGAUAAGCGGGAGGAAGGUGUGGAUGACGUCAAGUCCUCAUGGCCCUUACGGGUUGGGCUACACACGUGCUACAAUGGUGGUGACAAUGGGUUAAUCCCAAAAAGCCAUCUCAGUUCGGAUUGGGGUCUGCAACUCGACCCCAUGAAGUCGGAAUCGCUAGUAAUCGC
rnacentral:rRNA from 1 species